GACGAACGCUGGCGGCGUGCCUAAUACAUGCAAGUUGAGCGAUGAAGAUUGGUGCUUGCACCAAUUUGAAGAGCAGCGAACGGGUGAGUAACGCGUGGGGAAUCUGCCUUUGAGCGGGGGACAACAUUUGGAAACGAAUGCUAAUACCGCAUAACAACUUUAAACAUAAGUUUUAAGUUUGAAAGAUGCAAUUGCAUCACUCAAAGAUGAUCCCGCGUUGUAUUAGCUAGUUGGUGAGGUAAAGGCUCACCAAGGCGAUGAUACAUAGCCGACCUGAGAGGGUGAGCGGCCACAUUGGGACUGAGACACGGCCCAAACGCCUACGGGAGGCAGCAGUAGGGAAUCUGCGGCAAUGGACGAAAGUCUGACCGAGCAACGCCGCGUGAGUGAAGAAGGUUUUCGGAUCGUAAAACUCUGUUGGUAGAGAAGAACGUUGGUGAGAGUGGAAAGCUCAUCAAGUGACGGUAACUACCCAGAAAGGGACGGCUAACUACGUG
rnacentral:rRNA from 1 species